rnacentral:piRNA from 1 species
UAGAAAACUCCAGAAUAAUUGUCACCUCAC